UGGGAAUCUGAAUUCGGUCGUGUCUACUUUGAGCUUGUAGAAAUGAGCACAAGGAAUAAUCCCAUGUUAUGGAGUAACUUUUGAUGUUCCCCGUAAUUAAAAUAGUUCUGCAUUACAUUCAGGCAAAAACUAUGCUUUGGCAGUGUGGUGAAACAUUAGAGAAUUCUCCUCAAAUUAGUUACAGAAAUUGAAUGACAGGACAAAUUAGGAAGAGGCAGAAGGGGGUGAAAUAUUUUAUUUUAAAAAUACUUCAUAAAGACAAACAUGCAGUAAAUUAGCAAAUGUGCCUUCUCGGUUAUUCAUGGAAACAUGUUUGGAAAAAAACCAUGGGCUUUGUUUGUUUAUUAUUUGGCAGAAUUUUCCAGUGUUUUGUCAGCUUCCCACAGGCUGCUGUGCAUGGAGCUCCUUGGGAGGAUCACCAGAAGGCUUUGAGGAAGCCUUCAGAAAUGGUGGACCAGACAUGGAGGGGAAACCUUCAGCAAAUCUUUCCACCCCAAAGGCAUCAUUUCAAAGAGUCUCAUGUUUGGAGGGAGAAAAUUACAGAGAUCCAUGCAUCUACCUGCAUACUGUCCUGGAUACUUCAAAAGCUGCAGUUAAAAGUAGAAGCCAAACUUCCUCUGCAUUUACAGCAGGUGGUAUUAAUUUAUGUCACUUAGAUUAAUAGCAGUUGUUGUUUAACAAUAGCUGUUGAUAAACUAGCAUUGGUUUAACAAUAUGCAAAAAACUGCAUCUAAACGUGGCGGGGGGGAAGCAGGGAAAGCAGCCAAGUACUCCACCCAGAUAUAGAUUUGUGUGUGUGUAUAUCUGUGUGUGUAUAUAUAUAUAUAUAUGUAUAUAUAUAUAUAUAUAUUCCUCUGUCCACGCACAGAAAUGUUAACUUCAGUAUGUUUACUGGAGUGGUAAAAAGCAGCCACUUGCAAAUUCACUGAGACAAGGAACACCAGAUUGGAUCUGUAGGUUUUUUUUUUUUUAAUGUUGCUUCCAACCACAAUGUAAGUGUUAGAAAGGAGGGGGAAGCUUUUCUUUUUUGGAAAUAUAUUGGGUUUUAUUGCAAUAAAUGCUUCUGGCUCAAAGACAUCCUUAGUUAAGCCUGGUAAUCUGUGAGUGGAAGGGCAUGUGCUGGCAGAAAGGAGCAGAGCUGUGAAAAGGAUCUGUCCUUAGGACCUGUCUAUCUUUUUGUUCAUAAUAAAAGCAAGGGAAAAAAAAGAAGCGGUGUUAUCAGUACACUUCUGCAAGUGAAUUAGCUAGCACAGAUUUGAUAAAGCUUAUAAACCCUCUAGAGCAAUCGUGACAGUUUGCUGGCUUGGGCUUUGUCUGCUGCCAGUUACUCCUUGCUAGUGGCACUCUUUAUUUAUGCUUCAGUACCACGUUAUCCUCUGGGCUUCAAACAGAAGGGACCUGUCUGUAAGUGUUUUGGUUGUGGUGUUAAAAAAUAAGAGUGCAGCAAAACACAUGCAACAGUGCCCAAGCUCCCUUUCAGCCAGUUUCCCUUCUCGUGGUGCGGCUUCCCCGUGACUGCUCCGUGCACACAGCGAGGCUGAGGUGGUGUGUGUCUGCCUUCCACUAGAGAGUGUCACAGAGUUAUUUCAAUGAAUGAGAAAAGCCAAAUGGUGCAUUAUCUGCUUUGUUGUAGGUAAAAUGCAAAAGUGGUGUGACCUCAGGAACAGGAGAUAGCUGUGCCUGCCUAUAUGUUUUCCAUUUUCUAACCAGUUCUGUUUAUUCUUCAAUCUGCAGCUGAAAAUGCACACAGUUCAGGAGGGGGCCACAUUUCCAUGCACACCAGGGCUUUUUUCUGUCCAUUUGAACACAUGUACACAUUAAUGUUAUUGUAAAUAUACCAUCUGACACUUUUUUUUUCCUCUCCUGUAUCCUCAAAUUAAAUUUGUACUUCAAAAUGGUAGCAUAAUUCUGGGGUUCAUUAUCACAUGCAUAUUGCUAGUACAAGGCAUUGGCAAGCAGAGUUUAGAUUUUGGAUCAGUCUAUGCAAAAUUCUACACAUGGGAAUCUUGGGAAAAAGUUGCAGUCCAUUAGCAAAUUCUCAUAUCUGGACUGAAGAUGUAAAUGCACAAGUAGAGAAAUUGAAAAAUGGUGUUAAGUAGUCAGAAAGUCUCCAAAGGGAGAUCUGGACAAGAAGCUACAGUAAUAGCAGUAGAUGGCUGUCAUUAUUAAAAGAAAAACUCAAAAGUAAGGACAAUAGUAACACUCCAAAUGCAUAAAGUAAUUUCUUCAGUCUCUGAAAUUUCCCAUGGAAAUGCAAACACAGAAAGUAUUGUUUUUUCAGGUGAGUCAUAUCACUAAAUAACACCUAUUUUUUUUUUCUAAAUGAAGGAUUAUCCAUAAAGAUACUUCAUUUAAAAUAAUAAAUUAAAAAUUUGAAUACGGUGCUGACCACUGCAGUGCUUAAAGUGGGGUUUAACCAUCAAGGUCAGUUUAGGUGAACUUUCCUGUCCCAGCAAAGGAAUUCCAGCAAACUCUGCAAUUUAUUUGUUUCUGAUAUAGAGGGCUGAUCUCUCAUCUCUUCCAGGUCUGUGGUGCAUGGUUAACACCUGUGUUUGAUGUCGUUUUCCUUCUGCUUUAGUGAAUGAGAUGCCUCAGGUGAUGCCAAGUGGGACUGUCCUUUGAUGCCAUCCUGUCCCCACCUCUAGGGGGGACACCUCAGCAGGCACACCUUUAUUCCCAGAUGAAUUCCAGCUUAUAGGAAGAAUUUUAAAAGCUCUGGAGAAGUCAAAGACAGAAGAAGCAGGGCCAGUGAGGCUCAAAGCUUCCCUUCCUUACCCUAGAGGGGUGAAUUGGACCCAAGCACCCCUCACUGAUACUGGUGGGGCAUCAGAAAAGGGUCUCAAAGACCUGAGAGCAGAGCAAUUAAAAGGGAUUUCUCUUGAAAGUAAGACAAAGCAAGGAGUACAAGUGUGAGCAAUUAUGUCAGGUCUUACUACAGUGAGGUGAGCAGCAGGCCAGGCUUGUAAUGUCAGUGAGAAACUUGAAGGUCCUGAGGGUUAAAGAUCUUGAGAUCUAUCUUGGUAAGGAAUGUACUCAAAUGUGACAGUCUCGGUCUGGUCUUAAAAACUUCCAGUUUGGUUUAGCUAUUUACAUACCUCUGCAUUUGUCUCACCUCUAUUUCCAUCCUUACCUAAAGGAAAGGUGAAAUACAAGCAAUGUAAUAAAAUCUAUUUGAUUUUGCUAAAAUGACCUUGAGCUGCUACUGCACUGGAAACUUGAGUGUGUAAAAUUGAUUUGGGGGAGUCAUGUGUUGAAGCAAAAGAGGGAUUUUCCCAUCAUUGCCUGAUGUUCCUUGCUAAAUGAAGGGAAAUGCCCAGCUGUGGAUAACUAAAACAACUCCUGAAAGAAUCUACUUGCCCCCAACAAGCAAGUUUUAAGUACAGAGAGGUGGAUAAUAGUAAAUAGCAAAAAGAAUCCCCGUGUUGCUGACCUGAGCAGACAUUGCUUUUCCAGUGGCAGCAGGAGAUGCAGCUCCUCAGUCCAACAUUUGUUGCUCAAGCCAUCCCACCUUCUAGGGUCCCUACUAGUGAAGAUAAAGAGAAUUGCCAAUGUAUAUUUUUUUUCUAAAAAGAAAUAGAGAAAGUCUAUGGGUGAGCUUUGAAAAGAAAAUAUUGAUGAAAUUUUUUUAUUCUGUUUUCUAGAACACAUUGAGGCAUCAGCACAGCCACAGUUACAGGAGGAGGGAGAAGGUUUCUGUGGCUCAGCAGGAAGGUACUCAAAUGGAUAAUACCUUUGUCUUUUGUGAAGACGAAUAUGAAAAAAUUGCGCUGAAAGGGCAGAACUACAGCAGCAGCAAGAUUUGGGGGAUAUCAGACUGUGACAAACCCCAUCCGCUGUGUCCUCCAGCAUCCGCAAAGCAACUUGGGAGCACUUUGUUCAUCUGCCACUUUUUUAUUGCUCUAGAGUCCCUUUCUUGCCUCCCAGGUGACCUGUGGGAAACCCCAACAAUGUGAUCCCCAUGUGUGCUCCAGUGCAAAGGGGAAGGGCGAAUCCUGGAGUGCACUGGUUUGCAGCUUGUUUUUGCUGCAGGAUGAACGAGCCUCUCACCUUCCUCUGUUAGCGAGUCGCUGCUCUUAUUCAGAGUUCCAGGACAUCACCAAGCAUGUUUGUGUCUUGGAGUGACACUUGUAACUCUGUGGUUGUCCUUAUUUCUCUUCAAAUAGAUCAAAAGCCUGACAGGAAGAGCACAAAGAGAAGCACGAGAGUUGCAGAAGCUACUUUUGCAAGCCCAGAUGUGAAAGUGUGGUGAAUAAUUUCUUCUGCUAACUUCUGUUUUUCUAGUAGUAAGUUCUUAAUGGCCUUACAAGGUUUUAAGUUGGUCAACCUUACCUCAUUAUCAUCUAGCUAUUAUUGUAAUGAAAAGUUUAUAAAUAUAUGUGUGUUAAAGUGUGUGGUAUAUAAGAUGUAAGAAACAUGCAAAAGGAAUCAAUAAUUGUGUGUUUUAUAAUUUAAGAGAAAAUAAUAUCCUCUCAGAUGACUGUGGCUACAAGAAAUGAAGGUCAGCUGUACUCGUGAUCAUUUUUUUCUGCAGCUGCUGUUGCAGGUUUCAAUACCUUUAGCUCCUUCUGAUUAAAGGCAUUUUAUCAUGGUGUAUUUCUAUUAUUUUUUUUGUUACCAAUGAGAGCUUUUUGAUAGAAUCCCUAAAAGAGGACCUGUAUUUGUAGGGAGUCUGAACACAUGGGAUUUGAAUCCUAGUUAACAGUGAAUUCUCUAUUGCAGGAAGUAAAAGCUUAUGAAUAUUUUCCUUGGCUCUGAAAGUGGGAGCUGACACUAGUUUGUAUUGGAGAAUUUUAACUAAUGAUUAUGACGAUACUUAUCUGCUAAUUUGUUUCUCCAUGUCUGGAAUCAGUAUGCUAAAUAUGUAUGAAAUUUUCGGAGCUCAUGCUAAAAUUUCAACUAGCCAAAUACUUAUCUGCAUUUCACUAUUAUUGAAAUAAUGAUAGUAAUAAUAGUAAACACAGUAACUCUUUAUGAGUUCAUUCAACUAAAGUAGGAGAUCAUGGCAUAAGCUGAAAAUAUCUUCAUUAUUUUGAUAAAUCUAGAGUAUUGUCAUUUAACACCAAAGGCUUGUUAGAAAAAAGCCUAUGUGAGUUUUUUUAAUGCCAUGCUUUUGUAUAGGUAGCUACAUAUUUCAAAACUAAGAAGUGCUGAUUGCCACAGACACUCCUAACAUACAGAUAUGUGUAAUCUACAACAGUAUCCACAACAGGACUUGAGCUAAUUCAUUUAUCUCACUUAAUAAAUCUGUGCAACCUCUCAUGCUAGGUUUGAUGCCAAAGUUCUUGGGUGAUGCUGAAGAAUUUUCCCAGUUGUACAACAAGCAUAAGAAAGCUUUCAAAUUGAGGGAGAAAAUGACAAACAGGAAAUUCAUAUUACAGGCUUGAUUGCUGAAUUUUUUAAAAUGUAAAUUAUUAUGAGUUGGGAUACUGUUAGUUACAAAUAAACUUAGUUUGCAUCAGUUAGUUAUCAACAGUCACUGUCAAUCAUUUUUGUAUUUCCUGUUCAUAUGCUUGAAUCUGUUAAUGUUUUAAGUUGUAUGUGUUUUGUGUCUAUUUAGUGUUGGAAUUAUGUUAAGCAAUAUGGUUGCCUCUUUAACAAAUGUGAUCAUUGUUUUUAUAAAUACAAGUAAAACAGGAUAUUUUUUAAUCAGUGAACUUAUUUCUGUUGGACAUUGAAGAACAAACCUCAGAAUACUCUCUCAGUGCACUGAGAGAAGCUCAGGUUAAAGGAUGGCUCUUAUGGAAUGAGAAGAGGCUGCAGCAUCAUUCAAACGUUUCUUGUGCUGCUGAGCUCCUGCCUGGGAUCUCCAGUCAGUGCAGUCUCGAAGGACAUCCCUGAAGAUCCAACUGCUGUAGCUCUGUGACUGUUUUCUGUUCUAUUUCUACAAAGAUUCAUGUCUGCUGUCCAUCCUGGUAGUCUCUGGUGCAGACUGGCCUCUCUCCAUACUGCCAGACUGCUGCUGAGCCCCUUGGCACAGGUCAGAAUGAAAACCAUAAUUUUUAUUUCUCAGAGAAGAACCAUCACCAAACAUAAAUGCACAUAUUAUUCUUACUGGAGAGCUGAUGCUUCUGUUACUUGACUGCUGCAGCACCUGAACCUUACACUUACAAAGUUAUAACAUUCCUGAUAUCAAAAUUGGCUUAAUGGGAUAAGGACUCAAAUCAUAAAAAGAGGAAAAAGUUAUUAUCUUUCUUUUUUUAGGCCCUUGCAACACAUUCAUCAUCCUUUUCAUGCAGUACACUAUUCUUCAAAUCACAAGCAGUUUUUAAAACCAAGGUUGAAGUUAAUUUUAUCAGCCAUGUGUCUUAGAAAGAGUACCCUCCCUGUUUGGACAUUAUUUCCCUGUGUGAAGCUGCGAGUGAGUUUACAGGCUUAGCAAGGCCGUAAGUGAUUUGCUUUGUACAGCUAUUUGGUAUUGCCCCCCACACCAAUAAUCCUUUAGUAUAAUAAAAUACAUGUCUCUCCUUCUUUACUAGAAGUUAUAGAGAAGUCUUCUGAUCAUCCAGCUAUGAAAAGCACCAUGACUGGUUCUGCCCAGAAGCUGCAUGAAUACAUGUGGAGCAGAAAAGUUGCUCUUUAUAGCCAGCUGUAAAAUUCUUUCAAGCUCUGUUAAUGUUCAAGCCUGAGAAGGCUUUUCUCACCAAGAUAUAGCAUAGCUUCAGCAUACCAGCCUUCAGCAGUGUGUAUGAGUCAAGAUUUCACUCCAAGCCUACACUUUACUGGUGAAACUCAAAGUCAGCCAGCCCAUUUCAAGAAGAAAAAAUGUCAUUUGGUUCCAGUAAGCAUCCACAGAACACACUCCAGAUUUGACAAACGUUGUAAUUAGUUGCUUUUGUGUGUUUAGUACACAGGGCAAAUGCUGUAAAAUGUUUUUCACAUGAUGCAACAUUGCCAGCAGAUAAUCACUGGAGCAGUAAACCAAAAGAAUUUGUGUAUAUCCUACAAGCUGCAGGAGGAUAAGAAAAUGUAAACAAAAACCAAGAGCUGAAUUUUUCAGAUGAUACCAUUCCUUUUCUUUUGUUAAACUGAUUUGUUUUUAAAUGCUACUUUUUGUCAGUUUCUCUAGAAAUUGAUUAGAAAACCCCAAACCAAUGUUGUGAAAAUGCUUUUGUUUCUGUCCCAGUUUUGACUGUGUGAAUCCUUUUAGAACAUUUUCAGUUUAAUUAUGCAGCACUAAAAAUUGCAAUUAAACUGAAUUUGCAAUUGAAACUGCUCAUUUUAGUUAACUGUCAAAUUUACUAUGGCGUUGUGAAAUAGGGGCCUUUAUUAUUAUGAGGUGUUUUGAAAAAAAUUACUUUUUAAACAGGAGAAAAAUGUCAUACCCCUCAGUGCUAUCCCCAUAAGCCAAGAAUUUAAAGAGAUACCUGCCUAGUGAAAUGGUAACUCUCUAAGCACAAUGGAGUUUCUUCCAGGUGAUGUUUUAAAAUAUUGGUAAACUGCACGUAUGGAUGGUAUUGAGUAAAGUCUUCUUUUUGUGUAUUUAAUAUCUUUUGUGAAAUGUGUUUUUCAAAGGUGGGUGGAAGGCUAAAGUUGCUUUAAAGUAGUCUAGUGGUAAUCUUCUUGUCUUAGGGAUAUCUGACAUGUCCUGUUUUGCAGGAUGCUAUGAUGCAAUUUGAUGGAUAUUGUGUAUUAUAUGAGACUGUACGAAUCUUAAUAUCUCUGUUCCUCUGUUUUAGCAUGUGAUGUACAGCUCUGUGUACAUAGAGCAGCGCAGACGAGUGUCUGAGACUACCCUUUUUCUCUAAGCCCUAGGCAUUUUUAUCACUGUGCCAAUAAAAGGAAGGGGAUUUAUGGGGUACUGCUUUUUAAUUCAUUCAAUUCUCUGUUCAUUGUGAGGUUAAUGUUGUUGAUCUAUUUUUCUCUUGAAACAAAUAAAAACAAUAUGUGCUGACACUGACUUUGACUUUUGACAUGGGAGAUAGAGGUCAACAUUUAAUUCUAUAUUUAUAGACUACAUGAACAAUAUUAUCUGUAUUAAAAACUGUUCACUCAGUCCUUGUCAUUUUACAACUUAGUUCUGUAGCUUAUAUCACACUGAACGUUUUCUCCAACUCUGAUCAAGGUGCCAUCAUUCACAGCACUUCACUUAAGGGGUUGUCAGCCUUUCCAUUAAAAUCGCCUUUUUUCAGGGGUUCAUAAUAUGACUAGCUAAAAGAAUUACACCAAGACUGACCUGGGGCUUUUUUUUUUUAAGCAAAAUAUCCAUAAAAACAUACCCCAGCCCCAGAACCUAAAACCCAACAAAGAACUCAAAUGAAGAGAGGAGUUGACUUGUAUGACACACAUUCAAUGGCCAUUUUUAUUUAAGAAAAUUAUGUGAUUUAUCAAGCAGGUAUAAUACUGCUUAAAUAUUUAACCAUUUCUUUAUACCUGAAGUAUUCUUGGCUGUGUAUAAGAGGUGCUUGUCAACUUUUAGGUACCUCAUGCCCAAUCUGCUGAGAAAUUGGGUACCAGUGCCAGGGUAAUGAUGGCAGGAGAGCAUUGUCCUUCCCAAAUGAAAAAGAAUUUUUCCUUUUCAGGAAAGGUGAAGGCAGGACAAUCCUGUUUUCUUUUAGUGCACACUACAAUUGUGCAUGAGCAUUUCUUGGGAUAUGGAAAAGGACUUUCCGAUUCCUUCAGAUCAGGCUGCCCCAGUAGCCUUACUCUUGAAGAAGAGGAGAGUGCAAGGAGCUUUCUCUUCUGCCCCUAGAAUGAAAAGUGAGCCCAUGCCUUCUCACUGGCAGCACCAAUGCUUUCCUGGCUGAUGAUGCAGGGACAUUGAACUUGCUUUAAGGCAAUUCAGUAAUUUCCCUGGAACAACAUACCUGCAGUAGUGGAAGAUCUACAAUGAAAUAUACUUUGUCUAGGAAAUGCUUUAUUGCUCACGGCCAAAGAACAGACCCUCACGUGGAACUUCCCUGGAAGUGGGCUGUUUUACAUCCAUUUACUUCAGUUGUUACUCUUGUGAAAGGCGAGAGAGGAAGAUAAGAAGUAAUGUUAGGAGUCUGAUAUCUGCUACAAUUUGUUAUGAAGGUUCUGUCUCCUAGGACAUUGUUUGCCCAUCUUAACUGGUAAUGUUCCUCAAAGACUCAAAAAAAAUAUCACAGCAAUAAUGAAUCUUUGCUGAUGGACAUCAAAUGUUUUUCUGGGGUUUUAAAGAGUCUAAAAGAAAUCAAAUUAUUCAAUCUUCAGAAAAGUUAACAGGUGUUCAUAUCAGAGAGGUAAUGAAAUAUUGCCUCAGGUAGGGAAAUAGUGCUGUAGUGCACCAGUAAAUCAGAAUACUCUUCUUGUUCUGAGCUGACUGAACUUGCUUUCAGUAGUUCAGCAUAUCUUUGUUUAUAAAUCUAAAUGCUAUUGUGUGGUAUUGUACUUUGCAGUGUAAUAAAUUGUAACAUUCAACAUUAACUGGUCAGGCUUCAGUGAUAACAAAAGUUCAGCA